rnacentral:rRNA from 2 species
UUUAAGGUCUAAUCUGCCCUAUGAGGAAUUAAAUGGCCGCGGUAUUUUGACCGUGCAAAGGUAGCAUAAUAAUUAGUUUUUUAAUUGAAAGCUGGAAUGAAUGAUUGGACGAGAAAAUUACUGUCUCAGGUUGAUUUUAUUAGAAGUUUAUUUUUAAGUAAAAAAGCUUAAAUGGUUUUAAAAGACGAGAAGACCCUAUAGAGUUUUAUAUAAUAAGUUGUUUUAUUUUUUUAGAAUUAUUAUAUUAAUAUGGUUUGUUAUAUUUUGUUGGGGUGACAGAAAAAUUGAAUUAACUUUUUUUAUAUUUUUACAUUGAUUUAUGACUAAAUGAUCCAUUAUUUAUGAUUAUAAGAUUAAAUUACCUUAGGGAUAACAGCGUAAUUUUUUUUUAGAGUUCAAAUCGAAAGAAAAGGUUGCGACCUCGAUGUUGGAUUAAAAUGAAUGUUUGGUGCAGGAGCUAAAUAAUUGGGUCUGUUCGACCUUUAAAAUUUUACA